rnacentral:rRNA from 1 species
UGAGGAAUAUUGGACAAUGGAGGCAACUCUGAUCCAACCAUGCCGCGUGAAGGACUAAGGCCCUAUGGGUCGUAAACUUCUUUUGACGCAGAGCAAUAAGGAUUACGUGUAGUCUGAUGAGAGUAUGCGUCGAAUAAGCAUCGGCUAACUCCGUGCCAGCAGCCGCGGUAAUACGGAGGAUGCAAGCGUUAUCCGGAUUUAUUGGGUUUAAAGGGUGCGUAGGCGGAUGGGUAAGUCAGCGGUGAAAUGUCCCGGCUCAACCGGGGAACUGCCAUUGAUACUGCCUGUCUUGAAUGCGGAUGCCGUGGGGAUCGAACAGGAUUAGAUACCCUGGUAGU